GUGGAUUUGUAGAAAAUCAUGUCCAAUAUCAAUAAAAGACAGGUGCUUUGGGUGGUUUGUUUUACUAGGGUAAGUCAUAUCGCUAAUUAUAAUGAAAUAAUUACCAAUAAACUGCUAACAUCUGGACAUCAACUGAAGUAGGACAGAAUCAGCAGCUGAAACUGUGAAUUACCAUUUCAGGAUACACAUUUAUAUAUUACUUAUUUACCACACCUUCAAAACAAAUAAAAUAAAACUCGUCAAAGAUGAAAGCUAAUAAUAGUAUACGUCAUCGCGCAUUUCGUCUACCAAAGACUCAUCAG
rnacentral:lncRNA from 1 species